rnacentral:RNase_P_RNA from 1 species
AGAGACGACCGGAUGGUCGCCGGCUCGGGUCCACUGGACCUGGGCGGGAGGAAAGUCCGGGCGCCACAGAGCGGGGUGGUGGAUAACGUCCACCGGUCGCAAGACUAGGGAAAGUGCCACAGAAAAGAUACCGCCUGGGGGGCUGUCGGCCGUCGGCUCUCGGCCGUCGCGCGAGAAUCGAGGGAUCUAAACACCCUCGUUCUGGCCGAUAGCUGACAGCCAAUAGCCGAUAGCCCUUCAGGUAAGGGUGAAAUGGUGCGGUAAGAGCGCACCGCGGGCGAGGUGACUCGCCUGGCAGGGUAAACCCCACCCGGCGCAAGGCCAAACAGAGGGCAGAGCCGGCUCGGCUCGUUACGACUCUCGGGUAGGCCGCUAGAGGUGUGAGGCAACUCACUCCGUAGAGGAAUGGCCAUCCGUGGCCACGGUUCUCCAAGCGGGAAUCGCAGCCACGACAGAACCCGGCUUACAGGUCGUCUCUGGCU